CGUUCACUACGUUGCCUUUAUGUGUUAUGUAGCAAUCAUAAGGCACGCGGUGAAUGCC
rnacentral:precursor_RNA from 1 species